AUUGAACGCUGGCGGCAUGCUUUACACAUGCAAGUCGAACGGCAGCGCGGGGGCAACCCUGGCGGCGAGUGGCGAACGGGUGAGUAAUGUAUCGGAACGUAUCCUGUAAUGGGGGAUAACCAGUCGAAAGAUUGGGUAAUACCGCAUACGCACGAGAGUGGAAAGUAGGGGAUCGCAAGACCUUACGUUAUAGGAGCGGCCGAUAUCUGAUUAGUUAGUUGGUAGGGUAACGGCCUACCAAGGCAGCGAUCAGUAGCCGACCUGAGAGGGUGAUCGGCCACAUUGGAACUGAGACACGGUCCAAACUCCUACGGGAGGCAGCAGUGGGGAAUAUUGCACAAUGGGCGAAAGCCUGAUGCAGCAACGCCGCGUGAAGGAUGAAGGCCUUUGGGUCGUAAACUUCUGUCCUUGGGGAAGAAAAAAUGACGGUACCCCUGGAGGAAGUCCCGGCUAACUACGUG
rnacentral:rRNA from 1 species